rnacentral:lncRNA from 1 species
AACUGACAAGACACAGCAUCAGGAAUCAACACUACUAACAGAUGCCACCUGCUUUACAAAACAAAUAGAAGUAAAGGUGUUCCUGUCUUAUGCUAAAACGAUACAUCAGUGCUUUUCACAGCCCUUCUGUUUGCUGGGUAGCUGCACCAACAUUUACCACAACUUGGUGGAGAACCUGAAUGUGGUUAUAACUUUGCUCAAGUGAGAAGACAGGAUGAAGGGCUGUAAGCUGCCAUGUGACUGGUCAGAAAGGAGUGUUGUGUGAAUGCUGUCACCCUUGGGACUGUGAUGUACUAGUGGAUUCUUGUUCCACUGCCAGGCUGAGAUAUGCAUAGGCAACCUC